UGAGGAAGAGAUAGGACCUGCACAGC
rnacentral:piRNA from 1 species